rnacentral:rRNA from 1 species
AUUGAACGCUGGCGGCAGGCCUAACACAUGCAAGUCGAGCGGAUGAAGGGAGCUUGCUCCUGGAUUCAGCGGCGGACGGGUGAGUAAUGCCUAGGAAUCUGCCUGGUAGUGGGGGAUAACGUCCGGAAACGGGCGCUAAUACCGCAUACGUCCUGAGGGAGAAAGUGGAGGAUCUUCGGACCUCACGCUAUCAGAUGAGCCUAGGUCGGAUUAGCUAGUUGGUGGGGUAAAGGCCUACCAAGGCGACGAUCCGUAACUGGUCUGAGAGGAUGAUCAGUCAAACUGGAAAUGAGACACGGUCCAGACUCCGACGGGAGGGAGCAGGGGGGAAUAUUGGAAAAUGGGCGAAAGCCUGAUCCAGCCAUGCCGCGUGUGUGAAGAAGGUCUUCGGAUUGUAAAGCACUUUAAGUUGGGAGGAAGGGCAGUAAGUUAAUACCUUGCUGUUUUGACGUUACCAACAGAAUAAGCACCGGCUAACUUCGUG